CCGAAAAAGCAAAAUAAUGGCUCGCAACAAUCCUGUUUGUGGAAGAGAUUAUGACAAAGAAGUCUGGAACCUCAGAACCACCAUAACUGUGUCUGCUACAAUGUGUGUUCUUGCAACCAGCUGAUUGAUUCAUUUUAUCAACUCUUGAAUGGUUGAUUAUCAGAACUGAAUUCAGAGCUGCUCCUGUCUGUAGUAACAUCAUUAUAAGAGUGGA